UAUAGGUCUGACAGCAAGGACAGUGACAUUCUUUUUUUUUUAAAAGGCAGCAAAUAACUUUAGAGGCCCUUUUUUUUUUUUUUUUAAGAUUUUAGUUAUUUAUUCAUGAGACACACACACACACACACACAUACACACACAGAUUGAGAGAGAGAGAGAGAGAGGCAGAGACACAGGCAGAGGGAGAAGCAGGCUCCAUGCAGGGAGCCUGACGAGCGCGAUGUGGGACUCGAUCCCAGGACUCCAGGAUCACACCCUGGGCUGAAGGCGGUGCUAAACCACUGAGCCACCCAGGCUGCCCGGAUAGUGACAUUCUUAUUUGCAAUCACAUCCCCCAGAAUCAAGCACAAUGCCUGACACCUAAUAAGUACUCAAUAAAUACCUAUGGAGUAUUUAUUGCCUUGCCUCCUGCUGGAGGAGGCCUCUCCUCCCCUAUCAUGGACAAAGUUAUGUCCUAGGAGCUUCUCAGCUGCCCAGUGAGGCAGACACAUUUACCCGACUCUAGGGAGAAGAAAGCAGACAGAGGAAGGACCCAAGAUCACUGACUGAAGACCACACAGUGAGGACCAGCCUGAGCAGCACUCCUAUCUGGACCCAGGGUACCCGAUUGUGUCCUCAUAAGUCCACAUCUGCCCCCCGGCCACCAGCUCUCAGCUCUGAAACUGGUGUCUCCAUGCCAGAGCAGUCCAGCCAAAAGAUAAAUAUGAUGGUGGGGUUGAGGAGAUGGAUUCUUCUCCAUGAGGGAUGGAACUGCACCCAAGGAUCUAGAAGAGAAAGCAGAGGGCUUCUGGACAUGCGUCGAGAGCAGGCUCUGCACAGAAUGAAAAAUGACCUACUGGAGAUGUUCAAGCACUGGCUGGGAGCAGCCCUCCCGAGAAGUGAACGAAGUGGACUCAGGCUGCUAUGUACUGCGCCACCGGGGCUGCCCAAGCUGAAGGAUUCUUGCUCAAGACGCUGCUGAUUGGUGGCCAAGCUGCCAUCCUCCAUGACGAGCCAGCUGCAUCAGCCUCCUCCUGGGACCCCGUGUCAGCCCUUGCAGGCCGCACAUCCUCAUCUUUUCCCCAGUGGCAGCCAGAGGGAUGGAGAAUCCUAUUAAAACCCAAGUCACAUCAGGCAUUCCUUUGCUCAAAACUCUCCAAUAUCUCCCCAUGUUAUGGAAGAAAUAGCUGAGGCCCUGCAUGACCUGUCCCCUGACACCUCCUGUCUGCUCUCAUCUUCUAUCACUCCUUUCACUAGCCUAGUCUCUAGCCACACUGGCCUCCCCCUGCCUUUUGCCCUUCCCCCUAUGCCAGGCAUGCUCCUGCCCCAGGGCCUUUGCACUGGCUGUUCCCUCUGCCUACAACGCUCUUCCUCCAGAUUCACAGAGAUGGUGUUCCAC
rnacentral:lncRNA from 1 species